rnacentral:rRNA from 1 species
UACGUAUGGUGCAAGCGUUAUCCGGAUUUACUGGGUGUAAAGGGAGCGCAGGCGGAAGGCUAAGUCUGAUGUGAAAGCCCGGGGCUCAACCCCGGUACUGCAUUGGAAACUGGUCAUCUAGAGUGUCGGAGGGGUAAGUGGAAUUCCUAGUGUAGCGGUGAAAUGCGUAGAUAUUAGGAGGAACACCAGUGGCGAAGGCGGCUUACUGGACGAUAACUGACGCUGAGGCUCGAAAGCGUGGGGAGCAAACAGGAUUAGAUACCCUGGUAGCUGACUGACU